rnacentral:lncRNA from 1 species
AGCGUCUGGAAAGGUGCAGGAUCUGCUAAACCGUGCAUCGCACAGCAGCGGCCGGAGCAGACGCGGGAUGGUCGCGUGUCCCCAGCAGAACAGAGGGGGGCAGCCAGAGAGCCUGGGAAAGUUUUUGGAGCCGUGAGGGAUACAGCAGUUUGGUCAAUAUUGUUUUAACAUGCUUCAAAUAAAUCAGGAUGAGUCACUUCCAAUAGCAGGGCAUAGGGGAAGGGAAGCCAGCAAAGAGACAUAGACACUGUGUCCAAGUCAUUUCUGGGACCAGGGAUGGAAACGGAUUCUUCUGUGGAGAGACUUGCCUUGGCAGGUGAGGUAGACCAAGACUUUAUUAGCAACAGCUCUGGCUGCAA